CCUAAGCAGCCAGCUCCUGGCAGGCUUUUUCAGAUGCGUUAAAACUUGCUGGUGUUCCCGGAGUGUCUACAGAGGUUGUGUGUAGACACUACUUUGAAACAAGGAAGGCAGAAGACCAGGCAAGGGCCCCGGGAUCCAGCCCAGUACUUUCCAGUGGCACACAUGCCUUGUUUGUCUUGAUUCUUGAAGACAAUUCCAGUGACCCAUACGUGAAGCUGUCAUUGUAUGUAGCAGAUGAGAAUAGAGAACUUGCUCUGGUUCAGACAAAGACAAUUAAAAAGACGCUGAACCCGAAGUGGAACGAAGAGUUUUAUUUUAGAGUAAAUCCAUCUAAUCACAGGCUCCUAUUUGAAGUAUUUGAUGAGAACAGAUUGACACGAGACGACUUCCUG